CAGGAAACCGUGAAGCAAAUGGCGCGGGGGAAGGCCGAGACAUGCGGCGAUUGGGCGUCUGCUGGAGACUGCUGGGGCUUGCGGCGGCGCUCCUUGCUGUUUAGGGCUAGGGUUCUUUGUGUUUUUUUUUAUUUUGCUGAGUUGGGCUAGGCUAAUUUGGGUCUGGGGUGUUUUGGUGUAUUGGGCUUGUGUGCUGCUAGAUUUAGGGGUUAUUGGGCCACUUUCUUUUUGUGUUUAGACCCAGGCCGAUUGGGCCUUAUUACAAUUUAUUUUUAUUUUCGGGCUUUAAAAUAGCUCAAAAACAUAAACUGACAAUCAUUUUUCAGAAUUCCUUGUUCAUUUCUACAUUAAUUCAUUUCUCAUUUUCA
rnacentral:lncRNA from 1 species